UUUCAAUACCGUAUAAAAAUUAUAACCUAGACACUUUUUUUCCCUUUUUUUGAUUCGAACUUUCUUUCCUUGAGAAAAACAUGACACUUAGAGAGUAUAUAAAUAAUCCCAUUUAUCAUUGUUUUCAAAAUAAUAGUUAACUAACUUUUGAAAUAUUUAAAAAAUAUGUGGAGUCGGAGUCGGAGCCAACCAUUUAUUGAAGGCUGGAGUCGGAGUCGGCUAGAGUUGGUAGGCCGGAGUUGGAGUCGGAGUCGGAGUCGGUUGGAGCUGAAAGCCGGAGCCGGAGUUGGAGUCGGAGUCACCUUAUCUCAAAAAGCCGGAGUCGGAGUCGGAGUCGGAGUCGUUUAAAACAUGACCCGACUCCGCAGCCCUGGUUGUUUGUUUUCAUGCCGAAGUUUGGCCCGUUGAAAUCCGCUGAAAAUUGAAGAAAAACAGUCAAUUAUAACUAAACUUACUAUGAAUUAGAGUGAGCAAUGUGAUUGACUAACACCGCGAUUAGAAUCGAUCAGUUUCAGUUAGGAUUUAGCAAUUUAGGAUUUUACAAAUUUAGGUUUCUCGAGCUAUGUACCCUCUAACAGUUAGAGAGGCAACCAAGCAUAAAUUAUGCUCCAAAACACUUCUUAGGCAUCAACAACUACAACUACAUGCCACACCUGUCCAGCUUCAGACGAGAGUACAGAUGGUUCAUGAGCUCUGCGGACGAGAGCGAAAGACCAACUCCCCUAGCCAACAUGAAGAUUUAUGCUCGAACCUGCUGACUGUCGACAAAAUAUGCUAGGCAAACUAUGACCCAACCAGCUAUGUCCCUUUCACCCAAUCGAAAGCAACAAGAUCUCAUAAAACCUCUAACCUUCAAGUCUCCUCGAUCAAAGAGUUGAGCGUCCCACAAUAACUAAGACUACUGGUGACUAAAACGAGGAACUAGAGCAUAACUACCACGAACACCCUCGAACUAGUCAAUCGCGAUCUCGGACAUCGUAAACAGACAGUCCAACGAGACAAAAAUUAGAUUUAGGAUAGGAAUAGGAUCAAGGAUGGGAGCAAAUACCCUACCUGAUGUAAAUAAAGCUUGUUAAUUGUUAGUCGCGCCUAAUCUUAUAAAAACUAUGUGAGUAAUUACCGUUAUUGUUAGUAUUCUUCUUGAUCUUCGUUAUGUUUAUGUUGAGUCCCACGAAGUGAUGUUGUCGUAGCAUGAUCGAUGGUGUAAAGUUGGCUUCAGUUUCGUCGUCUGGAGCAUAUUUUUCGGGAACUUGAGAUGAGUAGAGAUGUAGUCAGCAUAAUUCAGCAUCGUGCAGCAUAAAUGUCGUCGUGUUGAGUAGGUUAGGUUAUCCAAUUAGAACUCGUCGCAGCUUCCAAUCAGAAACGAAGUUGAUGACGUCACAGCACAUUCAGCCUUCAGCAACAUAUUUCCGCCGUAAUUUUCAGCCUUCCGCAACAUAUUUCUCCAUUCAGCAGUAAAUUUUGGCUUCCGCACUUGGUUUUUAGUUCAGCAGCAUAAAUUUCGUCCCGCCUUCAGCAUAAUUAGUAAAUUUCCGUCAGCCUUCAGCACUUGAGAGUUACGUUUUUGUCCCACGACGCAGCUCCUACAAAAGAACACACAAAGCACAUCAAUUCUAAGUUUUAGGGAGAAUAUUUGAAUACUCCCCCCGUAAAUCAAGUUCAGAUGACGAAUUUUCAAUAGUUUCAGGCACUUUCCACUACAUUUUGGCACAAGUAGAGCACAUUUUUUGGACAAAUCACACCGUAAGUAAAAUUACGGACAGUCAGCACCACGUUUGUUUACGUUUUCGUUUGACGUCCUCGGCGAAGCUUUUUGACGAAGCUUUUGGUUUGACAGUUCCAGUUAGUUAGGUAGAGUGAAAUUUUUUCAGUGUUUAUUUGGGAAAACCCUUGUGGCGAAUUUCAGUUGUCUUGUUGAAUUUCGGGUGACCAGAGACGAUUCUGGGGUGGAAAUUCAAUAUAGAUAUUUUAAUUAGGCUGCGUUCUGUUAGAGUGAAGGACAAAUUUGCCUGAAGUAAAGCUUUGGGGUGGGCCUAAACUCUGCAGAACAGAUGAUUUCGGUGAAUUAGGACGAAGUUUCAUUUGCUCAACGUAAUGAUUGGGGUAGAUUCUGAGUCUUAAUGAGCCAGUGUUAUUUCGGGAACAUAAAGUAUGGAGACUUUAGGUUGUAUUUUCAUUAAAUAUGGAAUAUUAUUUAUUUGAAAGUAUAUUUUAUUUUGGGGUAUUGAUUGGGAUUUGAGUGUUAGGAUGAAUGAAUGAGGAAUGUCAACCAUUAGUCAUAGUCGAACUGCUAGUCCUGGAUUGUUCAACAAGUUGUUUUUCUGGGAGAAAUUUAGAGAUGUUAGCCUGUAAAGUAAAUGACCGAAAAAAAAGUAUCCAUGAUUAGGUUAUAAAAUUUUUGCACUAGCAUUUUGUUGAGGAUUUCUGAACGUUCGCUGGAGACCGGAGUGAAGACGUUGAUGGUCAGUAACAAGCAUUUUCUGUGAUGGAUCAUGACUUGGAAAUAGAGAUGGAGGUUACUCGUAACCGAUGAUCAUAUAUGACCCCGAACUGUUGAAAAUCUUUCGCAAAUUGUUUUUGGUGAAAUGUAAAUAUAUUUGUAGUAUUAAUUUGUUUUUUUUUGUGGUUCCUCCGUGUUUUUCGUAAGAUUUCCCCUUACGAAAAUUCAGUUUUAUUUUAUAAACUGAAUUUUCGUAAUUUAAGCAUGGAGUGAUGUAACAGUUGCACUUGUUAGCAUUUAUUUAUUUAUUUAUUUCGGUUUUUCCGUUCGUCUUUAAAUGUAAUUCGAUCUCCGUUACCACGGUAAUCAAUGUAGGUGAUGUUAGCCCCCACGAUCGUUGGUAACUAUCGUUACUGGUUUAAGACCUGGAGAGAGAAUCUCGCGGAGGUCGCUCAUAUGUUGAAUCCUUCGGGAAGACGGAAAGGGACGGUCAGAGCUAUUGCCGACCGCUAGAGUGAGACGGGAACUCAGAUCUUUAAAGAUCCGAAGAAGCCCGAGGCAAUCUCCGGGAAACGGCGUGCCAAAAGUACGUCUGGGGCCACCUUCCCCGUUCUGAGGAAGCAAGUACUCGUUCACUUUGUCCCAGACCUUUGUGAAGUGUGGAGUGCGCAGACUUUUAUCCCGGGUUCCCCUGUCCAGUCCUGAGAUCUCGACAAGGUUAGGAUCGUGUGUGUGUGAAGAAGUGAACUUUUGUGCGGCCUAGCUAGAGAUCAGCCAAGCAGCACCAGUAGGAGUACGAGCGCGCGUCCACCACCGCCCCGCAUCGAGUGUGGGACAAGUUUUGACCCGGCACACGCUACAUCGCCGGAAGAGACGAGCCGUCAACAUCUCGUCUGGAGGCGGUCCAUCCGCCCACGUGCUGGCCCGGAAAGUUCAUUCCCGGCCCGCGCAACAUCAUCGAAGUCAACCGCGCAACCGCAGGUCGAACCGGCAGCGUCGUCCGCGCCGUCCGCGAGCACGCGGUUAAGAUCAACAGCAGCAGCAUCAGCAAGUAACAGGAGCAACAGCAGUAGUCCGGUGAGUCCGUUCUUUUUCAUCGGGUGAAGGGUGACGGCCACGAAAGGCGUCACGAACGUUUUUCCGUUCCGGCUGCGGCCGUAGAGCGGACGCCAUUUUGAUGGACGGCGUCCAUUUUGUUUAAGCGCGUGUUGCCAUGCGCCCGGAGUGUGACGGCCUUUAUUGACACCCCCCACACGUCCACGAAAUAGCACUCUAGUGCCUUUGUCUGCCGCAGUCCGCUUGACUGCCGGUGACGUCAGCGAUCAGCUGUUCCAGCUGACGAGCUGAAGAUUUGAGGUUGAGGAGAGAGCACAAAAGCACGGGGUAACAGAAGAACAAACAGUACAGACAGUAGGGAGAGCAAAAGCACACAGUAGGAAAAUGGUUAGGUAGACGUUGAAGACGAAACAAUGAAUGAAAUACAAAAUGUUAGACUAGUCCAAUAAACGAGCACCUUUUCUGAUUCCCUGCCAACUAAAUUAUGAGUGAUUAUUUUGGAGAUUAAUAAAGUCCCUGCAGUUAAAAUGAGCUCACGUGUUAGUUUUUUUGGUCGAUCCGGAGCGCUGCUUCCGUCACUUUAGGGUCCGUUCCCAGUCCUUUCCUCCCCAAUGCAAAAGUUCUGCGUAUUUCCCAUGCUUCGUGAAGUUCUCUGGUGGCGGGUGUCGGUACUACCCAUGAUGAUUCAUACGGGCACGGGGGGUCCUAUACUGGCGGAUUGCUGAGGAGCUUUUUCGGGAGGCUGAGCUUUCCGUACCGUUCUUGUGGGUCACUUUGGUACGCUGGCCGAUUCGAUCUUGCUUCUUCCCUGGGAAGAAGUUCAACCGAGCACCUCUUCGAGAGUCUCAAACCGGGCAAAUUUAACAUGGCGGGCAGUCUCCCUCACGGGAGUGGCGCAUAAGCUGCACCGUUUGCAACCGAUCGAAUCGC